rnacentral:rRNA from 1 species
GGGGGGAGCGAGCGUUAUUCGGAUUCACUGGGCGUAAAGGGUUCGUAGGCGGUCAAGUAAGUCAGGGGUGAAAUCUAACGGCUUAACCGUUAAACUGCCCUUGAAACCGCUUGACUUGAGGACAUGAGAGGAAAGCGGAAUUCUUGGUGUAGCGGUGAAAUGCGUGGAUAUCAAGAGGAACACCAGUGGCGAAGGCGGCUUUCUGGCAUGUUACUGACGCUGAGGAACGAAAGUCAGGGGAGCGAACGGGAUUAGAUACCCCGGUAGUCCUGACUGUAAACGAUGGGCACUAGGUGUGGGAGGUAUCGACCCCUUCCGUGCCGCAGCUAACGCAUUAAGUGCCCCGCCUGGGGAGUACGGCCGCAAGGUUG